AUUCGAGGGGGUCCCGUUGAA
rnacentral:snRNA from 1 species